rnacentral:rRNA from 1 species
GAUGAACGCUGACAGAAUGCUUAACACAUGCAAGUCGAUGGGGAAGUGGUGCUUGCACCAUGGCAACCAUGGCGGACGGGUGAGUAACGCGUAAGGGACUUACCUGCAGGACUGGGAUAACAGGGGGAAACUCCUGACAAGACCGGAUAAUGUCAUGGAGCUGCAUGGCUUUAUGAUGAAAGGAGACGCCUGCGGAGAGCCUUGCGUCCUAUUAGCUAGUUGGUGAGGUAAUGGCUCACCAAGGCGAAGAUAGGUAGCCGGCCUGAGAGGGUGGACGGCCACAAGGGGACUGAGAUACGGCCCUUACUCCUACGGGAGGCAGCAGUGGGGAAUAUUGGACAAUGGGGGCAACCCUGAUCCAGCAAUUCUGUGUGCACGAUGAAGGUUUUCGGAUUGUAAAGUGCUUUCAGCAGGGAAGAAGUAAGUGACGGUACCUGCAGAAGAAGCGACGGCUAAAUACGUG